rnacentral:rRNA from 1 species
UACGGAGGGUGCAAGCGUUAUCCGGAUUCACUGGGUUUAAAGGGCUCGGUAGGCGGUUUGUCGCGUCGGGAGUGAAAUCUUACAGCUUAACUGUGAACUUGCUUUCGAUACGGGCAGACUUGAGGCAUUCAGGGGAGAACGGAAUUCCUAGUGUAGCGGUGGAAAUGCGCAGAUAUCAGGAGGAACACCGGUGGCGAAGGCGGUUCUCUGGGAAUGUUCUGACGCUGAGGAGCGAAAGUGUGGGGAGGCGAACAGG